GCCCCGCCGCGACCCCCUGCCUCUCCUCCGCGGGGCGGGCGCUCCUGUCGCGCUCCGGGGUAGGGUCCUGCAUGACAGCUUCCUCGCGGCCCUCCCCCCGUGCCGCCGGGAGCGAAAGCCGGGGCCCGGGCCGCCGCUGGGGAGGGGGAGGGCGGCGGGAGUCGGCGGCCGCGGCCUCCUCCUGUCACGGGCCGAGCCGGGGCGCCGCCAUGGCGCGAGCAGGGGCGGGACUGCUGCGCGCGCGCGCCGCGUUCCAUUCAAAGCUCCCAACGGUCACGGAGGGGGAGGGGAGGAGCCGGCGGGCCGCUGGGGGAGCCGGUGACAGGAAGGCAGCGGCGGGGAGCGCUCGGCGGAGGGGGAGAGCAGAAAAGAAAGCGUACACUACUUUACAGAAUUCCCUUUUGGAGAGAGUCAAUUCCUGCAUAGACAUAAUUCAACACGAAAAACCUACUGAACUUUGCUUCUGUAUAUACCUUUGAGAAACUUGCUUUAGAUGCUGGCAUUUCUCCCCACUGUAAAACAGUUUCCUUUGUGAAGUGCCCGUAUAUAUCAAUGUAGAUGCCUUCAUCUUCAUAGGAAGCACACAACUGGAGUUUCUACACCAUUUUCACAAGCCAGCAACACACAGAUCUUUUUUCUUCAAGCACAUACAUUUACGCAUGCCGUAACGGCACAACGAACAGUAAAGAAGCACUGAAGCUGUACUUGCCAAACUGAAUAUACUCUGGCCAACCACUUGACUCCGUGCCUCCGCGACAACUAUCCGUAACACUAGAACGGGUAUCCAGAGUCGCAGAGCAAUUUUAAUGUGUUGCCUUGGUACUCGCAUGAGCAAUCGAAGCAGGUAAGAGAUGGAGAAAGAGGUGGGGAACGAGGAAAAGAGGGUACCAGAAAGCAAAAGUAUCUAAAGUCAGCCUGUUAAAGUCUGGUCUGUUGCCACUACAAAGCUCCUUGAGAGAAUUAUCCAGUCUAUCUGAUGCUCUUUAAAGUAACAAAAUACCGAACAAGAUACAGCCACUGUAGCAGCAGAUUUAUUUCAGGUCUAGAGCUCUUAAGGGAAAAUGUAUUUUUAGUACAUGCUAACUUUUGGUGGAAAAGCACACACAAAUAGAGUCACGGUCCUCUUAAAGGUGCCCCACAUAUUCAGGGCAUUCACCUGGGGAGUAUGUCUCAUCAUGUACAUAAUUAUAUUUGAAGCCUGUUGAAAAACUAGAAGUGCUCAAAAGGUUCACUUUUUUCUUUGCCUUUCAUAUCUUGGGCAAUUAUGCUAAUGAUCUUUUUGACAAGUCAUUAUUCAUCUUGCUUAGCAACCAACUUCCAGGGAUGGCAUGCAGGCAUCAUGGUUAGAUUUAUAAAGUGAUGUCAAUUUUUAACAGCUGCAUAGUUAACAAUGCUACUGAUUGUUGGCUCAAAUAUACCAUUUAACAACAGAAAUGUAAAGUUCCUUUAAAAAACAGCUUUUAGCAAGUGAUUCAACACGUUGUUCUGAAUAUCUAGAAAAGUUAUUUUUAAUUAAAAGAAGUUUAUAAACUAAAAAACCAUCCUCAAACAUUGUAGCUAUUAGAAAUACAGUUUGGAUAGCAUGUGAAGGCUGUCACUUCAGGGUAGCAGGGGUGAUCAAGUGGCUUGCUAAGGAGGAGGCAUGGGUUUUCAUUUGAAUGGAAAACACAGGGCUGAGAGUGGAUUACAAAUAAAAAAAUAAAGAGUUCAAGGCACAGGCUGCAACAUGCAGAUCUGGGAUCAGAUUUCUUCAAAGUUCCCCAAAUUCCCUUUGGGUCACAUUGCCUUGGGAUCUAGUGAGGCAAUGGCACUCAGAUUAGCUAACCCUUUGCCAGUACAGAGCACUGUUGACUUCAAGGAGGUUUUCAUGUGAGCAGAGAAGUCCUCCUGCAGGGAGCCUCCUGCCAGACUGGAGCAGUGGGCACCCAUCAGUGUUUUGAACCUAACUCCCCAAGUUUCUAUGGCUUUUGGAACCCACAAAUUUGAAAAGAACUAUCUGCAGCUAAAAAACAAAAAGACUUCAACCAGAGCAUAAACUUCAUACUGGGCAGCCCCAUGCCUGCCAUUCACGUCUGUAGAGGAAUUACUUUGUUGUUAGCUGAGCUUAAACAGGUUUAUAAUGGUCACCAUCAUUCCAGCAAACUGGUACACAAUACAACAUGUACAAAUCAACCUGAAAUGAACAUCUUCAUGCCAACUUCUGCUUGAAAAUCUAAUGAGAAAGUCCCAAGGAAAGUGUAAAAAUUCUUUUGAAUUUCAGGACUGGUGGUGUGGGCAACUGAGCAGUAAGAUCAGCAAAUGUAUUUAGUCUGGAAGUUGGGAUUCUGCAAAGUCAUGACUGAAAUGCAAAUAACAGGUUGGACACUGAGCUUGGAUCUGUAAUCAUGUAAAACAAAUGUAACUGUGCUCCAAGGUGAAUAAAUUUGGAUUACUCAGGG